rnacentral:rRNA from 1 species
UACGUAGGGUGCGAGCGUUGUCCGGAAUUAUUGGGCGUAAAGAGCUUGUAGGCGGUCUGUCGCGUCUGCUGUGAAAAUCCGGGGCUCAACCCCCGGACUUGCAGUGGGGUACGGGGCAGACUAGAGUGUGGUAGGGGGAGACUGGAAUUCCUGGUGUAGCGGUGAAAUGCGCAGAUAUCAGGGAGGAACACCGAUGGCGAAGGCAGGUCUCUG